CCUACGGGAGGCAGCAGUAGGGAAUCUUCCACAAUGGGCGAAAGCCUGAUGGAGCAACGCCGCGUGGGUGAAGAAGGUCUUCGGAUCGUAAAACCAUUUUGUUAGAGAAGAAAGUGCGUGAGAGUAACUGUUCACGUUUCGACGGUAUCUAACCAGAAAGCCACGGCUAACUACGUGACAGCAGCCGCGGUAGUACGUAGGUGGCAAGAGUUAUCCGGAUUUGUUGGGGGUAAAGGGAACGCAGGCGGUCUUUUAAGUCUGAUGUGAAAGCCUUCGGCUUAACCGGAGUAGUGCAUUGGAAACUGGGAGUCUUGAGUGCAGAAGAGGCAAGUGGAACUCCAUGUGUAGCGGUGAAAUGCGUAGAUAUAUGGAAGAACACCAGUGGCGAAGGCGGCUCUCUGGUCUGUAACUGACGCUGAGGUUCGAAAGCGUGGGUAGCAAACAGGAUUAGAUACCCCAGUAGUC
rnacentral:rRNA from 1 species